CACAUCAUCCUGGUGUUUAUUUACGAGC
rnacentral:piRNA from 1 species